AUAGUAAUGAGGUGGUGAUAUGUAGGGUGGAACAUAGUAAUGAUGUGGUGAUAUGUAGGGUGGAACAUAGUAAUGAGGUGGUGAUAUGUAGGGUGGAACAUAGUAAUGAUGUGGUGAUAUGUAGGGUGGAACAUAGUAAUGAGGUGGUGAUAUGUAGGGUGGAACAUAGUAAUGAGGUGGUGAUAUGUAGGGUGGAACAUAGUAAUGAGGUGGUGAUAUGUAGGGUGGAACAUAGUAAUGAGGUGGUGAUAUGUAGGGUGGAACAUAGUAAUGAUGUGGUGAUAUGUAGGGUGGAACAUAGUAAUGAGGUGGUGAUAUGUAGGGUGGAACAUAGUAAUGAUGUGGUGAUAUGUAGGGUGGAACAUAGUAAUGAGGUGGUGAUAUGUAGGGUGGGGGUGGAACAUAGUAAUGAUGUGGUGAUAUGUAGGGUGGAACAUAGUAAUGAGGUGGUGAUAUGUAGGGUGGAACAUAGUAAUGAUGUGGUGAUAUGUAGGGUGGAACAUAGUAAUGAGGUGGUGAUAUGUAGGGUGGAACAUAGUAAUGAGGUGGU